GUGAGGAAUAUUGGUCAAUGGACGGAAGUCUGAACCAGCCAUGCCGCGUGCAGGAAUAAGGUCCUAUGGAUUGUAAACUGCUUUUAUUCGGGAAUAAACCUCUUUACGUGUAGGGAGCUGAAGGUACCGAAGGAAUAAGCACCGGCUAACUCCGUGCCAGCAGCCGCGGUAAUACGGAGGGUGCAAGCGUUAUCCGGAAUCAUUGGGUUUAAAGGGUCCGCAGGCGGGCUAUCAAGUCAGAGGUGAAAUCCCACAGCUUAACUGUGGAACUGCCUUUGAAACUGAUGGGCUUGAAUUAAGUGGGCGUUGGCGGAAUAUGACAUGUAGCGGUGAAAUGCAUAGAUAUGUCAUGGAACACCGAAAGCGAAGGCAGCUAACGAUACUUAUAUUGACGCUCAUGGACGAAAGCGUGGGUAGCGAACAGGAUUAGAAACCCCGGUAGUCC
rnacentral:rRNA from 1 species